GAUAUAUGUCCCCAUGAUAAUGGGAGACAGCAGGAGGGAACGAUGGAAACAGAACUGUCCCAGGGUUGCAGGACUCAGAACAGGGAUCCAGAGGUUCAGAUAGGAAAGGCAACAGAAGGGUUCCAUGGGAGACCUAUGAGUAUACCCCACAACCAUAGGUGAUGGGAAGCCCUUUCAAUGGCAGGCAGGCACUGGUUUAGAGCCUACUUUAGAACCCGUUACCUUGAUGGUUUGGGGUGCCAUAUGUUAUCAGUUACCUUCUGUUGUGUAACAGGUUACCCCAAAUCUUAGUGACUUCAAACAAUAGCCAUUUACUUAGCUCAUGACUGUGAGCUGGCAUUCUGGGCUGGGCUCCAGUGGAUGUUUAUUUUCUGUUGGUUCUGGCUGGUCUCACGCAUAAGUCUGUGGCCAGCUGUUGGUCAUCUUGGAAGCUCUGUGCCUGGGGACUGCCUGGCUGCUGGCUGGGGGAAUUGGGGAGGCUAUCUCUGUUCCUCCAGCAGGUUAGCCCGGUACUUCUCAUACUCUGUGUCCAGUUUGCCAAAGCUGCAAAAGCAGAAGCUGCAACUGACGUAUGACCUUAGUAAUGACUACCAGGAAAGCAAGUCCAGUCAGAAAGUCCAGGUCUGUGCAAAACGUGGACUUCCACUUCACUCCCUUGACGUGGAUUCUACAUGGCCCCUUUCUACAGAAGCCAUGUAGAAUACCCUCAGUGAGGGUGAUGGCAGGCGUGUCUUGCUUGGCUGAGGCUCCAGCAGAGCUGAGCUCUGUGGGGUUAGUGCUCGUGUGGCAUUGUGGAGCUUUUACUGAAGCAGGUCCUGGCGGCACAGCCUCUGAGAGUGAUUCCUGACCCACUGGGGAUCUGCGAGUGCCCUGACAUUCUAAUAAAUUCACUUUCUGCUAAACUAGCUAGAGCGGGCUCUGUUGUUUCUAACUAGGAAUCCCAAUGGGAAUGACUUGUUUUGUUGGUUUUUCAAAUUUUUAGUUUUUCACUGUGGUAAAAUAUACAUAACAAAAUUUACCAUUUUAAUCAUUUUUAAGUGUAUAAUUCAGUAGCAUUAAGUACAUUUACUCUCUUUCCCUCUCUUAUUUUUGUCCUUUGAGUAUGAUAUGGACUGUGGGUUUGUCGUAAAUAGCUUUUAUUGUUUUGAGAUACGUUCCAUCGAUACCUAGUUUAUUGAGAGUUUUUAGCAUAAAGGCCUUCUCUGCAUCUAUUGAGAAAAUCACAUGGUUUUUGUCUUUGGUUCUAUUUAUGUGAAUUACGUUUAUAGAUUUGUGUAUGUUGAACCAGCCUUGCAUUCCUGGGAUGAAGCCUACUUGAUCGUGGUGGAUAAACUUUUUGAUGUGCUGUUGGAAUCGGUUUGCCAGUAUUUUAUUGAAGAUUUUUGCAUCGAUGUUCAUCAUGGAUAUUGGCCUGUAGUUUUCUUUUUUAGUUAUGUCUCUGCCAAAUUUUGCUAUCAGGAUGAUGUCGGUCUCAUAAAAAGAGUUAGGGAGGAUUCCCUCUUUUUGUAUUGUUUGGAAUAGUUUCAGAAGGAGUGGUACCAGCUCCUCUUUGUGUGUCUGGUAAAAUUCGGCUGUGAACCCAUCUGGACCUGGGCUUUCUUUGGUCAGUAGGCUCUUAGUUGCUGCCUCACCUUCGGACCUUGUUAUUGGUCUAUUCAGGGUUUCAACUUCUUCUGGGCUUAGUCUUGGGAGUGUGCAAGUGUCAGGAAUUUAUCCAUUUCUUCCAGAUUUACUGGUUUAUGUGCAUAGAGUUGUUUGUGGUAAUCUCUGAUGGUAGUUUGUAUUUCCGAGGAAUUGGUGGUGAUCUCCCCUUUAUCGUUUUUCAUUGCAUCUAUUUGAUUCUUCUCUCUUUUCUUUUUUUUAUUAGUCUAGCCAGUGGUCUGUCUAUUUUGUUGAUCUUUUCAAAAAACCAACUCCUGGAUUUAUUGGUUUUUUGAAGGGAGUUUUGUGUAUCUCCUUUGGUUCUGCUCUGAUCUUAGUUAUUUCUUGUCUUUUGAUUGCUUUUGAGUUUUUAAAAUCUUGCUCCUCUAGUUCUUUCAAUUUUGACAAUAGAGUGUUGAUUUUCUAUCUUCCCUUGUUUCUCAUGUGGGCAUUUACUGCUAUAAAUUUCCCUCUAGACACUGCUUUAAAUGUGUCCCAGAGAUUCUGGUAAGUUGUGUCUUCAUUCUGAUUGGUUUCAAAGAACAUUUUUAUUUCUGCCUUCAUUUCAUUGUUUAUCCAUUCGUCCUUCAGGAGCAAGUUGUUCAGUUUCUAUGUGAUUGUGUGGUUUUGAUUGCUUUUCUUAAUGCUGAGUUCUAAUUUGAUUGUGUUGUGGUCUGAGAGACUGUUUGUUAUGAUUUCUGUUUGUUUGCAUUUGCUGAAGAGUGAUUUACUUCCAAUUAUGUGGUCAAUUUUGGAGUAAGUGCAAUGUGGUGCUGAGAAGAAUGUGUAUUCUGUGGAUUUGGGGUGGAGUGUCCUGUAAAUGUCUAUUAGGUCCGCUUGGUCCAAAUCUGCGUUCAAGUCCUGGAUAUCCUUAUUGACUUCCUAUGUCGUUGAUCUGCCCAAUAUUGUCAGUGGAGUGUUAAAGUCGCCCAUUAUUAUUGUGUGGGAGUAUAAGUCUCUUUGUAGGUCUUCAAGAACUUGCUUUAUGUAUCUGGAUGCUCCUGAAUUGGGUGUAUAAAUAUUUAGGAUAGUUAGCUCUUCUUGUUGCCUUGAUCCUUUUACCAUUAUAUAAUGCCCUUCUUUGUCUCUUUUGAUCUUUGUUGGUUUAAAGUCCAUUUUAUCAGAGACUAGGAUUGCUACCCCUGCCUUUUUUUGCUCUCCAUUUGCUUGGUAAAUCUUCCAUCUCUUUAUUUUGAGUCUAUGUGAGUCUUUGCAUGUGAGAUGGGUCUCCUGAAUACAGCACACCAAUGGGUCUUGACUUUUUAUACAAUUUGCCAGUCUGCGUCUUUUGAUUGGGGUGUUUAGGCCAUUUACAUUCAAUGUCAAUAUCGUUAUGUUUGAAUUCGAUCCUGCCAUUUUGUUACUGGCUGGUUGUUUUGCCUGUUAAUUGACGUGGCUCCCUCAUUGCAUCGUUAUUCUUUACCAUUUGGUAUGUUUUUGCAGUGGCUGGUACUGGUUGUUCCUUUCCCUGUUUAGUACUUCCUUCACUAGCUCCUGCAAGGCAGGUCUUGUAGUGAUGAAAUCUCUCAGCCAUUGCUUGUCCAUAAAGGAUUUUAUUUCUCCUUCACUUAUGAAGCUUAGUUUGGUUGGAUAUGAAAUUCUGGGUUGAAAGUUCUUUUCUUUAAGGAUGUUGAAUAUUGGCUCCCACUCCCUUCUGGCUUGCAGGGUUUCUGCUGAAAGAUCUGCUGUGAGUCUGAUGGUCUUUCCUUUGUGGGUGACUCAACCUUUCACUCUGGCUUCCCUGAGGAUUUUUUCCUUCAUUUCAACGCUGGUGAAUCUGAUUAUGUGCCUUGGGGUUGCUCUUCUUGAGGAAUAUCUUUAUGGUGUUCUCUGUAUUUCCUGGAUUUGAAUGUUGGCCUGCCUUGUUAGGUUGGGAAAGUUCUCUUGGAUAAUAUCUUGAAGAGUGUUUUCCAACUUGGAUUCAUUCUCCCCAUCACAUUAAGCUAUGCAGAUCAAGUGUAGAUUAGGUUUUUUCACAUAAUGCCAUAGUUCUUGGAGGCUUUGUUCAUUAAUUUUCACUCUUUUUUCUCUAAUCUUGCCUUCUCAUUUUAGUUCAUUGAUUUGAUCUUCCAUCUCUGAUAUCCUUUCUUCUGCUUGAUCGAUUUGGCUGUCAAAACUUGUGUAUGCCUCAUGAAGUUCUCGUGCUGUGUUUUUCAGCUCCAUCAAGUCGUUUAUGUUCUUCUCUAAGCUGGUUAUUCUAGUUAACAUUUCGUCUAACCUUUUUUCAAGGUUCGUAGUUUCUUUGCAUUGGAUUAGAACAUGGACUUUCAACUCAGAGAAGUUUGUUAUUACCCACCUUCUGAAGCCUGCUUCUGUCAGUUCGUCAGAUUCAUUCUCUGUCUUUUUUUGUUCCCUUGAUGGUGAGGAGUUGUGAUCCCUGGGAGGAGAAGACGUGUUCUCUUCUUUGAUUGUUUCAUCCUUUUUGCGCUGUUUUUUUCCCAUCUUCGUGGAUUUAUCUCCCUUUAAUAUUUGAAGUUGGUGAUUUCAGGAGUCUCUGAGUGACUUUUUUUUCUGUUGAGGUUGGAGCUGUAUCUUUUUUGGCCUGUAGAGGGCGAUGCUAGGCUCUCUAGGGUCAGUCAGGUUGCUGGGUGGGUGGUCCUUCCCUGGAGUUUGCAGGUGAGGCUGGCCCCGCCUUCCCAAUGGCUUCUCUUCUUUCCCAGCUGGAGCUUCCUGGUUGUGGUCAAGCUGGUGUAUUUGCUGCCAAGCUCUCUGGCUAGGCUUCAGUUUGAGCUCUGUGGAGGUGGGGCCUGCCAGGCCUUGUGGUCUGUUUUCCUGCUUUCAACGCUGCCUCCCUCUGUGGGACUGUCCGUCCCGCUGACGUUAGUCCAACCCCCCACCCAGGUGCCUGCGACAGCUUCCCGCGUCCGGCGGUAGCUGCUGCCCAGAUUUGCAUCGACUACCCACGGCGUCCCACCGUCUGGCAGGGCUCUCCUGGACCAGAGGUUGCAGGAGGGAUGAGGAUACCACUCCUAUUUACUUAUUUUUGGAGCUUCCAAGGAGGAAUAAAACAAUGGAAGUGGAGACCUGUUCGUGUGCUUUUGGCCCUUCCUGCCCAGGAUGGGAGGGUAAAGGUCUCCCACUAGGUCAAGGGAUGGUCCAGAGCACUCUCUGCUUCUUCUCACUUGGAGAAAAUCAUCUAUUUGUGCUGAUGUGACAAUAAACUGAGACAGCUGUUGUACAAGAAGUUCUCAUUCUUCAGCUGGCUCAACAGAACUAUUGGCAAUUUAAAAAUUUCUGAGUUGAUGCUGCUGCAGAGAUGACAGACUGAUGCUUGGAAUCAAAGCAGCGCUUUGGGAUUUAGUUGCGAAAGAUGAGGAGCUCGUGAUCAUGGAUGGAGGCAGAGCUGUGAGCCAUCAUUCAACUGGAUUCUAAAUUUAAAAAUAUUUGGGUCCUUAUUUGCUGGUCAACAUUUCAAGGUUUUGUAAACAAAUUAUGAGGGAAGGAAAAUGAUGGUGACGAUGAUGUUGAUAAUUAUGAUAAUGGCCAUUGCACUGUUAACAGUAGUAGGUAGUAUGCUUUCGAUCUUGCAGACAUAGAUACCGGGUAUCUCAUUUAAUUCGCAAAAUAACUCUGAAAGGGAGGAAGUCGAGGAGUUGAGGCUUAAACUCAUUGAUUCAAAGGAGCCUUCAAACCUGUUCCCCAGUGUAUGAUCCAGUGAGAUUCCCUGCCAAAGUCUCUCCCUCUAUCUCUUUCUUUUUUUUUUGUCUUUUUGAGACAGAGUCUCACUCUGUCACCCAGGCUGGAGUGCAGUGGCACAAUCUCAGCUCAUUGCAACCUCCACCUCCAUUCAAACAAUUCUCUUGCCUCAGCCUCCUGAGUAGCUGGGAUUACAGGUGUGUGCCGCCACCCCCAGCUCACUUUUGUAGUUUUAGUAGAGACAGUGUUUCAUCAAGUUGGCCAGGCUGGUCUUGAACUCCUGACCUCGGGUGAUCCGCCCUCCUUGGCCUCCCAAAGUGCUAGGAUUACAGGCAUGAGCACCGUGCACAGCCCAAAGUCUCUUUUCACUUUGUUCCCUCCACAAAGUAUAUAUUUUGCCCACUGUGUAUGAUAGCAAGUAAAGAUAGCAUGUUAUUAUUAGCUUCAUCUUUUAUAUAAGAAAAUUGAGGCAAAGGGAAAUUUGCUCAUUUGGCCCAAGCUUCACAAGUGGGAGGUGGUUGAGCCCAUGGCCACCAGGUAUGACUUUUUUUUUUUCCUUCAAUUUUUUUGGUUGUUUUUAUUUUUUUUCAUUAAAGUCCAUUGAUCGUCACAAAAACCCAGGAAAAUGCAAAUAAGGAGAAAACAAAUGUCCAACCAAGAUCUAAGAACCCAGAGCUAUGGAGGAGAUGUUGCACUCGACUGCUGCGUGUGCACAAGGGGGCAGGAGGGGCAAUCCCCAUGGACCAUGGCCACUGGCCGUGGGAAACACAGGAGGGAGGCCCGGCAGCUGGCUGGGUGGUUAUGUUAACUGCUGCACGAUGUUUUUCACAGCUCAAUGAUGCCUGGCCCAGGAGUCUGAAAUCCAGCCAGCUCUCUGGUUAACAAGUCAUAGAUGCUACUAUGAGGCUGAGUUUGCUGGGAGGAACAAAACCUUUAUCAAAUUCAUUAAAAGAUAUGACCUUUUCACCAAGUGUGGGCCCACUGGACCUGUAUCUGCCUAGAGGAGUUGCCUUUUUGAUAUGCACCAAAACUUAGUAUAGAACAGUGGCCCCUGAAGAACCAGUAUUCAAACUCUGUAGUCUGAUUUCAGAAUCUGAUAUCUGAGCUCACAAAGCAGAGACAAGCAGUAUCUGUUUCCUGUCAAAGGCUCCUUUUAAUAGUAUUGCCUCCAUAAGGUGUACAUUUUGAUAUAUGAUAGCAUGUUAAGAACCACUAUUUCUUUGGCCUCAACUGUUAUAAGUAAAAUUUUCGGUGCUGCAAAAGAAGUAGCAUUUGAAUAUAAAUUUCCUCAGCAAGGCAAUUUGCUUCUAUAGGAGCAUGUGGCUCACAGAUGGAAGAAUGGUGAGCGCGCGCCUGGGCAAGGAGGGGAAGGGCUUAAAAGCCUGAUGGAGGUCACCCCUACUGCUGGGCUGUUCCCCUAUUGGCUAGGGUUAGACCACAUAGUCUAGUCUAAUUCUGAUUGGCUAUUUUAAAGGGAGCAGUGGUAUGAGCCGAGGUGGGGUGAGUAGUUUGGUGGGAAGGACGGUUAUAGGCAGGUCAGAGCAGGUAACCAGGGGUCAGAGCAGGUAACCAGGGGUCAAAGUGGGUGACUGGAGCAGGUGACUGGAAUGAGUCAGGAUGGAGCAGGGGACUGGAGGAACAGAUGUGAAAUACUGAUUAGAACUGGUGGAAAAGGUUGUUUACUGAAACUACAAGGAAGUUCAACCUUAAAAUGGAGAAUUGAAGAAUAAGAGCACUGAACAUACUGACAUACUGAUUCUUUGAACAGAGACUUGGGGUUCACUAUAUCUAACACAACAAAUAGGGGUUUGCUUUUGUGCAUGCAAUAAGAAGUCCAGAGUUAGUGGCUUAGAGUAUGUACAAAGUCAGUAGGAACACAUGUUCCAUCCAGCACCCUGAUGUGCCCUUGUCAGGUUACAGCUUUCAGCCCCAAGGUGUCUGCUGCACAGUCGGACUUCACAUGUGAAUUUCAGGCAGAAAGCAUUGGGAAAAAGUCACACACAAAAAAAGAGAGUGAUUUUUUUUUCGUUACUUUUUAGAUGAGGAAAAUUACAGCUUUCUCAGAAGCCCUACUCUUAAAUCUCAUUGUCUGGAAGUGGGUCCCAUGGCCACUCCUAGUUGCAGAGGAGUUUGGGAAGUAUUUUUAGCUAGGCAUAUGACUACGGACUAGACAAAGCUGGGAUUCUCUUAGUAAGAAAAAAGGAGACUAGAUCUCACAGGCUCCUGGCAAUAUCAGUCACAUCCGACAGGCAAACUGCAUGUAUAAAGUAAUAUUUAACUUGUUCCUCCGCUUUUAUAAGUCAAAAACACAACUUCUGAGAGGCACAUUUUUGUUGACAAGUAGUAUAUAGAUCCAUUGCCCACUACCUGUAGGAGCCUGUGUAACAUAUACAGGGUCAGGAAGCUGAGCUGCUCCUACACAGUCGUCUUCACAAGUUCCAGCUUCUGCUUGGGUCCAGUGCUGGCUUCCCUCCCACAUCCCUGACACCUGGUUUGGUCCCCAGUCACCACAUCUCACCUCCUACCUCUUUGGCUUUUCCAUACUUGGGCUUUAUAGCUCCUGGCUCCUCCACACUCUCUACCACAAGGAUAGCAGGGAUUGGGAUUGCAGCCAGAGGUCCUGCCCACUGCCCACUAGCUGCUGUACUUGCUGCACAGCCAGCCCUCCAGGUCCAGAUGCAAAGCCUAGAGCCCUGGCUCGUUCCCAGUCCACCUAUUUGAUCAGUAGCCAUGGAGGAUAUGAACUAGAGUUCUCACAGCACAGCCUGUUAUAGUUCCAGCUGAAAGUAGUACCCUGUGUGUUUUAGCUAACCUGGGCAGUCUCAUUGUGAGUAAAUAUAGAGUUUUCAGUAGGCCUUUGGGAAUGCUGAAAAAUAGCUCAUAGUUCUAUGUAAUCCUUUUUAGCCCAGUGCUGUCUGAUCGAUCUUUCCAUGAUGGGGGAAAUGCUGUCUUUCUGUGCUAUCCAAUAUGGUGGCUACUGGCCGCAUCAGGUUACUGAGAGCUUGAAACAUGGCUAGUGCAAUGGAGGAACUGAAUUUCUAAUUUUAUUUUAAUUAAUUUAAAUGGAAAAUUAAAUAGCCACAUGAGGCUAGCAGCUACCAUACCAGAUAGCACAGCUCUAGAGGUUUUCCCUAGGGACUCAAGGUCAUAAGAAGUGUAGAGUGUGUAGGAAACCAGCUACCUACACUGAGGUAGCUGGCUGAAUGAAAACAUAAAACAAGGAUGAAAACCGUACAUACGAAAUCAUGACAUGAUGAACAGGUCAAAGGGUAUCCAUUGACUCUAAGGCCACAAUGGUGACCGUUUGUUGAAUUUUUACUCUGUGCCAGGGAUUUAACUUUUAAUUUUUGUGGGUACACAGUUGGUGUAUGUAUUUAUGGGGUACAUGAGAUAAUUUGAUACAUGAAUGCAAUGUGUAAUCAUCACAUCAUGUAAAAUGGGGUGUGCAGCCUCUCAAGCAUUUAUCCUCUGUGUUGCAAACAACCCAAUUAUACCCUUUUAGUUAUUUUAAAUUGUACAAUCAAAGUGUUAUUAACUAUAGUCACCCUGUUGUGCUAUCAAAUACUAGGUCUUAUUCAUUCUUUCUAACUAUUUUUUUUGACCCAUUAACUAUCCCUAGCUUACUCCAACCCUUCCUACCCUUCCCAGCCUCCGGCAACCAUCCUUCUAUUCCCUAUCUCCAUGAGUUCAAUUGCUUUGAUUUUUAGAUUCUGCAAAUGAGAACAUGUGAUGUUUGUCUUUCCGUGCCUUAUUUCACUUAACCUAAUGACCAUGUUGUUGCAGAUGACGGGAUUUUAUUUGUUUUAUGGUUGAAUAGUACUCCGUUGUGUAAAAGGACCAUAUUUUCUUUAUCCAUUCAUCUCUUGGUGGAGGCUUAGAUUGCUUCCACAUUUUGGCUAUUAUGAACAGUGCUGGAUAAAACAUGGGAGUGUAGAUAUUUCUUCAGUACACAGAUUUCCUUUCUUUUAGGUAUAUACCCAGCCGUGGGAUUGCUGGAUCGUAUUGUACUUCUAGUUUUAGUUUUUUGAGUCAUCUCCAAACUGUUCUUCACAGUGGUUGUAUUAAUUUAUAUUCCUACCAAUAGUGUAUGAGAGUUCCCUUUUCUCUUUAUCCUCACCAUCAUUUGUUAUUACCUGUCUUUUGAAUAUAAGCCAUUUUACUCAGGGUGAGAUGAUAUCUCAUUGUAGUUUUGAUUUGCAUUUCCUUGAUGAUCAGUGAUGUUGAGCACUUUUUCAUGUGCCUGUUUGCCAUUUCUGUGUCUUCUUUUGAGAAAUGUUUGUUCAAAUCUUUUGCCCAUUUUUAACUGGGGAUUUUAGAUUUUUUUUUCUAUAGAGCUGUUUGAGCUCUUAAUAUAUUCCCUGGUUAUUAAUCCCUCGUCAGAUGAAUAUUUUGCAGAUUUUUUUCCCAUUCUCUGGGAUGUUUCUUGACUUCGUUGAUUGUUUCCUUUGCUGUUCAAAAGCUUUUUAACUUGAUGUAAUCCCAUUUGUCCAUUUUUGUGGUGGAUGCAUGUGCUUGUGAGGUAUUAUUCAAGAAAUUUUUGCCCAGAUCAAUGUUCUGGAGAGUUUCUCUGAUGGAUUCUUUUAAUUAAAUUAAUUAAUUAAUUUUUAGGGGGGGGACAGAGUCUCACUCUGUCACCCAGGUUGGAGUGCAAUGGCGUGAUCUUGGCUCACUGCAACCUCUGCCUCCUGGGUUGAAGCAAUUCUCCUGCUGCAGCUUCCCAAGUAGCUGGGAUUACAGGCACCCACCACCAUGCCUGGCUAAGUUUUUGUAUUUUUAGUAGAGAUGGGUUUUCACCAUGUUGUCCAGGCUGGUCUCAAACUUCUGACCCCAGGUGAUCCACCCGCCUCAGACUCCCAAAGUGCUGGGGUUACAGGCAUGAGCCACCACCACAGGUGGCCUAAUGUUUCCUUGAAGUAGUUUCAUAGUUUGAGGUCUUAGAUUUUAAUAAGUCUUUAAUAGAUUUUGAUUUGAUUUUUCUAUAUAGUGAGAGAUAAGAUUCCAGAGUCAUUCUUCUCCAUGUAGAUAUCCAUUGUUUCCAGCACCAUUUAUUGAAGAGAUUCUCUUCCCCAGUGUAUGUUCUUGACAGCAUUGUCAAUAAGUUUAUUGCAGGUGGAUGGAUUUGUUUCUAGGUUCUCUGUUCUGUUCCGUUGGUAACUAGGUGUCUGUUUUUAUGCCAGUGUCAUGCUAUUUUGGUUACUAUACAUCUGCAGUAUAAUUUAAAGUCAGGUGAUGUGAUCCCUCCAGUUUUGUUCUUUUGGCUUAGGUUAGUUUUGUCUAUUCUGGUCUUUUGUGGUUCCACAUAAAUUCUAGGAUUUUUUUUUCUAUUUCUGAGAAGAAUGUCAUAGGUAUUUUGAUAGGGAUUGCAUUGAAUGUGUAGAUUGCUUCGGGUAGUAUGGACAUUUUAUUUUAACAAUAUUGAUUCUUCUAAUCCGUGAACAUGGACUAUCUUCCAUUUCUUCAGUGUCCUCUUCAAUUUCUUUCAUCAGUGUUUUAUAGUUUUCAUCAUAGAGAUCUUCCAUUUUUUUGGUUAAUUCCCAGGUGUUUAAUUUUAUUUGUGACUAUUACAAAUGGGAUUACUUUUUAAAUUUCUUUUUCAGAUGGUUCACUAUUGACAUAUAGAAAUGCUACUGAUUUUCAUAUGUUGAUUCUGUAUCCUGCAACUUAUCUAAAUUUGUUUAUCAGUUCUGAUAGUUUUCUUGUGACAUUUUUAGGUUUUUCCAAAUAUAAGAUUAUGCCAUCUGCAAACAAGGAUAAUUUGAUUUCUCCCUUUCCAGUGUGGAUGAUCUUUGUUUCUUUCUCUGGUCUUAUUGCUCUAGCUAGGACUUCAGUGCUGUGUUGAAUAACAGUGGUAAAAGUGGCAUUCUUGUCAUGUUCCAGAUAGUAGAGGAAAAGCUUUCAGUCUUUUUUUAUUCAGUAUGAUACUAGCUGUGGGUCUGUCAUAUAUGGCUUUUAUCAUACUAAGGUAUGUUCAUAGAGAGGUUAGAAAGAUGCAGAACAAAAGUAUGAAGCUAGCAGAGGUUGGUUCGUGCAGUUUAAGUAAAGAAGUUGUGUGCACAACAUCAAAUCGUAAGGCUAGUGCCGAUGUAGAAGCUGUAGAAAGUUACCCAGAAGAUCUAGUUAAGAUAAUUAAGGCAGCCACACUAAACAAUAGAUUUCCCAUGUACAGUUGAUGAAACAGCCUUCUAUUGGAAGAAGAUGCCAUCUAGAACUUUCAUAGCUAGAGAGGAGAAGUCAAUGCUUGGCUUCAGAUCUUCCAAUGACAGGUUGAUUCUCUUGUUAAGAGCUAAUGUAGCUGGUGACUUUAAAGCCAAUGCUCAUUUACCAUUCUGAAAAUCCUAGAACCUUUAAGAAUUAUGCUAAAUCUAUUCUUCCUGUGCUCUAGAAAUAGGACAACAAGGGCUGGGUGAUAGCACAUUGGUUUAUGGCAUGGUUUAUGAAUAUUUUAAGCCCACUCUUGAGACCUGAUGCUCAGAAUAAAAGACUCUUUUCAAGAUAGUACUGCUCAUUAAUAAUGCACCUCAUCACCCAAGAGCUCUGUUGGAGACUCAUAAAGAGAUUAAUGUUGUUUUCAGGCCAAUGUCCAUUCUGCAGCCUGUAGAUCAGAAAGUAAUUCUGACUUUCAAGUCUUAUUAUUUAAAAGAUGCAUUUUCUCUGGCUGUGGUUUCCAUAGACAGCAAUUCCUCUGAUAGAUCUGGACAAAGUAAAUUGACAAUUUUCUGGAAAGGAUUCACCGUUCUUUAAAAACAUUCAUGAUUCAUGGGAGGAGAUAAAAAUAUCAAUGUUAAUAGGAAUGUGGAAGAACUUGACUCCAACCCUCAUGGAUGACUGAGAGUUUCAAGACCUCAGUGGAAGAAGUCACUGCAGAUGUAUUGGACAUAGCAAAAGAAUAGAAUUAGAAGUGCAGCCUGAAGACAUGACUGAAAUGCUGCAAUCUCAUGACAAAACCUUACAAAUUUGGAGUUGCUUCUUAUGGACAAGCAAAGAAGUUGGUUUCUUGAGAUAGAAUGCACUCCUGGUGAAGCUGCAUGAACAUUGUUGAGUUGACAACAAUAACUUAGAAUAUUGUAUACAGCUUAGUUAAUAAAGCAGUGGCAGGGUUUGAGAGGAUUGACUCCAGUUUGGGAAGAAGUUCUCUUGUGAGUAAAAUGCUGUCAAACAGCAUCGCAUGCUACAGAGAGCUCUUUUGUAAAAAAAAAAAAAAAAAAAAAGUCAACUGAUAUGACAAACUUUAUUGUUGCCUUAUUUUAAGAAAUUGCCACAGCCACCCCAGCUUUCAACCACUACCCUGAUCAGUCAGUCAACAUCGAAGCAAAAAGGUAAUGGCUCAUUUGCAGAUUUUGCAAUAAAGUAUUUUUUUUCUUCCAAAACAAUUUAUUGAAUAACCUAUCAAGAACCAUUAUCACAUUUUCCCCAUAUUUAUUCAGUUUGUCUUCAGACACUUCCACUCUACUUGUUUUUUCCUCUCUAAGCAAAAACAAGGUUCUCUACCAAUCAUAGCUUUACUUGAGCUUGUCGUUUUCAGUUUCUGACUGUAUGCUUUUUUUUUUUUUUAAUUUUAAGUUCUGGGAUACAUGUGCAGAACAUGCAUGUUUGUUAUAUAGUUAUACGUGUGCCAUGGUGGUUUGCUGCACCUAUUAACCUGUCAUCUAGGUUCCCUUCCCUUUCCCCCCACCUGCCACAGGCCCCAGUGUGUGUUGUUCCCUUCCCUGUGUCCAUGUGUUCUCACUGUUCAACUCUCACUCAUGAGUGAGAACAUGUGGUGUUUGGUUUUCUGCUUCCUGUGUUAGUUUGCUAAGAAUGAUGGCUUCCAGCUUCAUCCAUGUCCCUGCAAAAAACAUGGACUCAUCCUUUUUUAUGGCUGCAUAGUAUUCCAUGGUGUAUAUGAACUACAUUUUCUUUAUCCAGUCUAUCACUGAUGGGCAUUCGGGUUGGUUCCAUGUCUUUGCUACUGUAAAUAUUGCUGCAAUAAACAUAUGUGUUCAUGUGUCUUUAAAGUAGAAUGAUUUAUAUGCAUUUGGAUAUAUACCCAGUAAUGAGAUUGCUGGGUCAAAUGAUAUUUCUGGUUUUAGAUCCUUGAGGAAUUGCCACACUUUCUUCCACAACAAUUGAACUAAUUUAUCUUCACCGACAGUGUCAAAGCAUUCCUAUUUCUCCACAGCCUCAUCAGCAUCUAUUGUUUCUUGACUUUUUAAUAAUCACCAUUCUGACUGGCAUGAGAUGGUAUCUUAUUGUGGUUUUGAUUUGCUUUUCUCUAAUGAUCGGUGAUGUUGAGCUUUUUUUCACAUCUUCUUUUGAGAAGUGUCUGUUCAUAUCCUUUGCCCACUUUUUGAUGGGGUUCUUUAUUUUUUUUUUUUUCAUAAACUUGUUUAAGUUCCUUGUAGCUUCUGGGUAUUAGAUCUUUGUCAUGCAAUAAAGUAUUUUUAAAUUAAGGUAUGUUAUUAAUAUAUAUCAAUAUCUCAGAUGCUAUUGCACACCUAAUAGACUACAGUACAGUGUAAACAUAAAAUUUAUAUGCACUAGGAAACAAAAAACUUGUGUAGCUCACUUUAUUAUAUUUGCUUUAUUGCAGUGGUCUGGAACUGAAUCUGCAAUAUCUCCAAGGCAUUAUUAACUGCAGAUUCCAGAAGGGACAGCCAGAUUGCCAUGAUUCCAGCUUGCAUAACUAUGCUUCUGCUGUUCCAACAAGUAUAGUGCUUUACCUUCUCUUCAAGAGAGGAUUUUGAAGAUCAUGAGUCUUGCUCUCUGUAAUUCCAAAUAGGGAAAUGUUAACGCAAACUGUCAUUUAGGAAAUAGGUCAAAUUCCAGAUAUAGUUAAGGUACCAUUAGUUGGUAUAAUAUGUGCUCCAAAAGCUCAAUGGCUCAUUCAAUAAAGGUUUCUUUCAUCCUCACAUGAAAUCAAAUCAAAGGUAGGGCAUGGAUAGGAAUGAGCUCUGCUCCACUCAGUCAUUCAGGGACCCAGGCUGAUGGUGGUUUUGCCAUGUCCAGUGGCUGACUUCCAAGGUGUCCUCAGACACUGAGGUCCAGCCAGCAGACAGGGGAAUAGAGAGAAGUUUUUAUGGGCUAGGAUUGGAUAGGACAUACAUCCCUUCUGCCUGCAUUCCAUUGGCAGUACUCAGUCACAUGACUCCAACUAACUCUAAAGAAGGCUGAGAAAUAUAGUCUAGCUCUUGUCCCAGGAUAAAAGGAAAACAGAUUUGGUGAAAAGCUAGUCUUUGGGAUAGACCUUAAUCCCUCAGUUGUCCAACAGGAUUAAGAAAAGAAAUCUGUGCUUUUGUUAGGAAUCUAUUUCAUGGCCAACAGAUUGUGGUAAAUAUAUAUUUUUUCAAAGCAUUGCUUUAGAGACUGCUUAGGAUGUAAGUAAAGAAAACAAAAAGGAAGAGAGUCUAGUAACAUGAAUUGGGAAAGAUCUCUAUUGAUUGGGCUCUGUGUAUACCAAUCACAUCUGCCUAGCAGAUGAGUUAAAAUGAGCUGAAAGCUGGUGGCAUCAAUCAAGUCGUUAAGUAAUGUGUCCUCCAGGGCACAGCAUGGUCCAGCCAUUGAUAUUUCCACAGUCGCACCUCCUGGCACUAACCAUCCCGCUGACAGCAUUCCAGGCAUCCUGGCCUUUUGGUUUCCUGACUGCUCUGUGUCACCCUUACCUCAGUGCCUUUGCAUAGCUGUUUCCCUUUCCUGAAAUGCUCUGGACAUCCCAGUGCUUCCCCUCACCUUAAGCAUGAGGCAUGUGAUGUUUCAGUUUCUUCAAAUGGUCUCUUCCCAGGACUCUGUGCCUGAUGGGGUGGGCUUGGGUUCUAGUAGUAGGAAACGCAGCUUGUGGGUUAGGACUUUAUCUUUUUAUAUGGAGGGCAAAGCACUGUUUAUGCCUACAGCCCACCUAAUGUGUGCUAUUUAUCAUAAUUUUGAUAUAGACAUGAAGGACCAAAAGUUAGCCAGCUUUGUGCUUUUAUUAACCAAAAUUUCUAGGCAUCAUUGGUUUUUCUUCAUUUCAUGCCAUUUCCUUUCAGUGAGAAAUCUGCUUAGUACAUUUACUUGCUUUGGAUAAUAAUAGGGUUUCUUCAUGUGGUGUUUGUGUGUGUGUGUGUGUGUGUGUGUGUGUGUGUUUAUCGCUUGAAAAAUUGUGCCUGGGCCAGGCUGGUGCUUAUAAAAGUCUAAGAUAAAUAACGCUAUUUUUUCCCUUUGGCUAAAUUCCCCCUAUCUACUGGCAAGUUAUCAUUCUCAGACCACACUCCCUACUGCUGCUAUUUUUCUCUAAAGUUGCCCAGUGGUGUUUUGGCCAGAGCUCUUUUUAGUGGAGGUAGAACGAAUUAAAAGUUUAAGAAAAUCAAACAAAUAUUUACUGAACACCAGCGUUUUCUUACUUAUGUCCCCUUUAAACUCUGCGAGAGAGUAUUAUUUCCUCCACCGGUGUUUUCAUCUCUGUGCUUUCUCUUGCCAUCCUCAGUCCUUUCUCUUUCUUCACUGAAACCUGAGUACCUAGGGUAAAGAAGUGUGACAAUAAUUUGAACUAUGAGUUGUAUUUCUUUUCUUCAUUUUUAUUUAGGUCACCAACAAGGAAGAUGCCAGUUUCCUCCCCAAGACUAACCUAAAAUGAGACCCUGUGGAGUGUCAGAUAGAAGCCACCAGGAAACCCAGAAUGGCUGGUUCUGUCUCAUUUCCCCAGAGCAUCAGUGAAGCAAUUUUGCAGGCAGAGAGGGGAUGCUAUUGGAGGGAAGUCAAUGCAACCCCUUCUCACGUUAACGGGACAGGUGUUGGGGCCCCAUGCUUCCCCAUGAAGGGCGGAUGUUCCAAAGUUAGCCCGAGUGUCUGCUUCCUGCCAAGAUCCUAAAUGCAAGCUAGUGGCUCACACAGACGUCCUUAAGGAACCGGACCCAGCAGCCGUGGAGAUGGUGGUGGACAGAGAGGUGGAGAGAGAGAUCAAUGCCCAGGAAUGCCUGAGUCCCCACCAGGUGGACUGACAGGGUUGCUGUCAUCAACUGCACAAUCGUGCCCAAUAUUUUACCCCUUCUAUAGCCACGCCCUUUGUUGGGAGACUUUGGGGUUAUUCCUGCUUGAGGGGGGGGGUCUCUUUCCAUACCCCAUUGAUGUGGGGAUGGCCAUGCGAUUUGCCUUAGCCAGUGGGACGUGGGUGAGAGUAAUGGGCAGAAUUCUGAGCCUGGAGAACCAUCACGUGUGUGCAUGUGUGUGUGUGCGCACAUGUGUGUUUCCACUCCCUCCUUCUGCUGUUGCCCUGACAAGGGCUGGGUUGACUGGAGAGACUGCCUUUCCAGGAAAGUGAAACACACAUGACCCAUAACCUGAGGCAAGGCCACCUCGCUGGCCUGCAGAACUGGGUAGUAUAAACUCUUGUUAUUGUAAGCCACCGAGUUUGAAGGUACUUUGUUCUGCAACACUGUUGUGGUUAGAGAUAACUGAUACAGUAAUCUGUAAGGGCCUGGAUGAGCCAUGGAAUUUAGUAGGGACAGGGCUGGCUCACCAUCCCACCAUACUUCCUGGUGGAGUCAGGUCUAGCAUCUUCAGGAAAGGAAGGGCAUUGCUGUGGCUUGAUUACCCAGGGCAGGAAGCUGCAUAGAAGUCGCUCCUGGGAGCCCAGGAACCAUGGAAUAUGCUGCAACAGAUGCAGCAGCUGGCAUGCCAGGGUCAAGUCGCACACUCCUUGCCAUGGCGCAGCGGGCAGCAUGAAGACCACUAUUGCUUGGGAACAGAGUGUGUCUCCAGCAAGGGGCUUUGAACUGGACAGUCAUCUAUUUAACGAGCACCUACUAGGAGCCAGGAACCCUUCCAGGUGCUGUGAAUACAGUGGUAAAUCAAAUCAGUUCAUCCUUGCCCUCGUACAGCUUAUGUUCUAAUAACUGAUAAUAAUAAUAGUGAUACAUCUGAGAUAUGACUAAGUCUUAAAGCAGAAGUGACUGGAUAAAUUACUAGACAGGACUGUGUGGACUGCAUUGGGCUAAUUAUAAUUUUCUUACUGUCAGCUGGGAAUAGAGGCUUGUUAAAAUAAAUUAUAGGCAGUAUAAAACUGAAGCAAGCUUAUGUGCUCACAAAUAUAACUUGUGACUGUCCUGUGCUGGCUGUUACACUGGAAACACAUCCUGCUUCCCUGACUGCUCUCUUGCUUUUCUGCUCUUUGAUGAGGGCUGCCUUCCCCUAAAGACACCACUUUACCUGCCCUCUCCAUGGGGAGCUUCACGUUUUACCAUGUGCUAGACAACAUUCUUCUGAUUGCACGUGCUCCAUCCUUACUCCUGCAUCCUUAUGUAGAAGCCCUUCUGAGGCUCGUGCCUCUCAGCAGCUCCACCACUGUCUAUCUCUUCUCCUGGCUGUUUUCUCAACCUCCUGGUUCCUCCUCCACAUUCUUGAAGCUCCUGACUCAUGGGCUUCCUUGCCACAUUCAGUCCUACCAUCAUCUUGAAGGAUUUUGAUGCCUGUGAGGCUGGCAUGUCCAGUAUGUGAACCCCCCCACCCAAAUCUGAGACAGGUCUGAGAUUUUUUAGAAAGUUUAUUUUGCCAAGGUUGAGGACAUGUGCCUGUGACACAGCCUCGGGAGGUGCUGACCACAUGUGCCCAAUGUGGUCAGAGCACACUUUAGUUUUAUGCAUUUUAGGGAGACAGGAGACAUCCAUCAACAUAUGCUAAACAUUGGUUUGUUCCAGAAAAGGAGGGACAACUGGAAGUGGGGAGGGGGCUUCCAGGUCGUAGGUGGAUAAGAGACAACUGGUCCCAUUCUUUUGAGUUUCUGAUUAGCCUUUCCAAAGCAAAGGUGGCAAUCAGUUAUGCCUUUAUCUCAGUGAGCAGACGGUUGACUUUGAAUACAAUGAAAGGAAGGUUUGCCUUAAGCAGUUUCCAGCUUAACUUUUCCCUUUAGCUUACUGAUUUGGGGGCCCCAAGAUUUAUUUUUCUUUCACAAGUACUUUCUUCUCCUAUUUCACUCACUUUAUCAAAUUCAGUGAUCAUCCCUUUUAAACUGCCCACUCCCAUCACCAAACUAUGAAGGAUAACUCCCUCCCUCCCUUCCUCUUUCCCUCCCUCCCUCCCUUUCACUUCCUUUUCCUCCCUCUUUUUCCUCUUUCUCUUCCUCCUUCCCUUCCUUUCUUCCAUGUCUAUUAACUAUAUGCCAGGCCCUACACUGAGCUUUGUGGAUUGAAUAGUGGUAAAAAUAGACCAUCUUAGUCCAUUCAGCCGUUACAACAGAAUGCCCUAGACCAGUUGGCUUCUAAACAACAAUUUUUUUUUCUCACCGUUUCAGAAGCUGGGAAGUCCAGGAUCAUGGCGCCAACAAAUUCAGUGAGAUCUGCUUUCUGGUUCAUAGAUGGUGCCUUCUAGCUGUGUCCUCACAGAGUGGAAGGGGCAAGGUCUCUUAUGAAGACACUAAUCCUCAUGACCUAAUCACCUCCCCCAAAUCCCACCUCUAAUAUCAUCACCUUGGGGGUUAAGAUUUCAACAUAUGAAUUUGGGGAGGGGGCACACACAUUAGACCACAGCCUAGGCACAGUCCUACCCUCAAGAGGCAUAGGGUCUGUUCCGUGUCUGACCUCUGCUGAUCCGUCUCUGACUACGGUUUUUAUCCCUUCAGUUCUCUUGCUCCUUCCUCCUAAGACAUCCACACACUGAUCUCAGGUUCUGAGAUCUCUCCCUGCCCUUGGAGUACAAAGCGCGUUGUUCCAGCAGUUCUCACAUUUGGUUAGCCCAUUUAUCCUUCAGUGCAUGUAAUAAUAAUAAUUGCAUUAUUACGAAUAGCAAACCCUUAUAUAGUGCUUAAAGCAAAAGCACUGGCUCAAGAGCUUUAUAUAUUUACGUAUCAUUAAAUCCUCAUCAAACCCUCUGGAGUAGAUAUUAUUGCUAUCCUCAUUUUGCUGAUGAGGAAAUUAAGGUAGGAAGCAUUUUAGUAAUCUGCCUGAGAUCUCAUAGCUAGGGAGUGGCAGAGUUGGGAUGCAAACUUAGGAGGCUAGACUCUCAGCCACUGGACUGUGUUACCUCUUCUGUUUUACUGAUGAGUAACCUGCAGCUACUAAAAGCAGGAGGCUUGCUUAAGCUCACACAUAAUAAGUGGCAAGCUGAGACCAGAACUCAGGCGACACUCCUUUUUAAAAAGAAAACAGUCUUGGGGUAUGUCAGUGGCUCAAAUUAGUUUCCUGGGAUUGAUUGCUUUCCUGGCUCCUACCAGGGGCAGGUCUCACUGAGGAAAUUAGAAUUUGUGAGUAAGGGAGUGGGGAAGAGGUGCUUCAGCAGGCAGGUUGAGGAAAGGAAGUUGUCUGCGGUGUGGGAUUUGAGGCAUGGGAAGCCGGUGUUGGGUAGACGAGAUGUGGAGGGGCCAAGAAAGAAAGUUGCCUGUGCUCAGGGUAGUAUUAGCCUCAAGCAAAUCUUUGGGGUGGGUAGGAGGAGCUACGAGAGUCCUGCAAGCCCUCCCCAUUCCCUUGCUAAGCAGUUGCCCCACAGUUGAAUAAUUCUGAUGAAGAAGGUGGGCUUUAUCUUUCUCAGGAAGCUUGGAAACACUUAAAACCCAUCUUGCAUUAAGGGCCUCUGAGGCCUAUCCUAUUCGAAUUAGAAAAACGCAUGGGGUCUCCAGCCUGUGAAAUCCCAAAGGCGCUUGACGUCUGCUUCCUGGCUCCUGUGCUCACCUCUGUAAGGUGAACUACAGCCAUCAAACAAGGCUUAGCGUCUAUCUAUCCAGAGGGUUUUCUUCUGUUCUUUCCACCCUCUUUUCACGGAGCUCAAAGCAAUUAGUAGAGCUGAUGGCAGUGAUCAGAAGGUUGUGGUUUGCUUUUUAUUUUUAUUUGAACCAUAUAAUUAUGCCUGUAUCAAAGUUAAGAACAGUGGGAAAUAAUGCCAAAAAAUUUGUGAAUCAGGGAGAAUUUCAGUUUAAAUCCCCUUGUUAUGUCAGUGGAGGAUAAUGAAGGGCUAGUCAGCGGUGGAUCCCUCUGUGUUUUGUGAUUCAGGGUUAUGCUGAUUUUGCUAGCAUCCACCACGAAUGUAAUUGCUGUGUAUUUCCUUGUGUGACUCUGUUGAAAGUCUGUUCUGCCAACUAGAUUCCAAGACCGAUGAAGACAGAAUCUCUCUUGUUUACUGCUGUUUUCUAGUGUCUGGCAUGGGGAGCUUGGCCAAUCAAUAUUUUUAAAAUAUGAAUAAAUGGAUGAAGCCAAAUAAAACCCACAGCUGGCGAUGCCAAUGGAGUUCCUGCUCCCAUUCAUUCUCUCUCUCUCCUGGAUUUCUGUGCUUGGUGUUGGACAUGAUUAACAGAGUAUUCCAGGAAGAAAGGUGCUUAUCUGUGCUUAGAUGGGCUUGGAAAUCGGCAUGCUGGCGUCUUGACAGCACAGGCUCUAUAAGCAUGGGGAACAAGCUGGGGCCAGGUACGGUGGUAGCUGGGGAAAUUGGCCCAGCCACAGGGGCUGGCUCCAGAAAGGACACCUGGGAAGCCCAGGCAUAGGGUCUGCAUCCAUCUCAGACCCAAUUUUGGCAGUAGGGCUUGUUGAAGUAGCCAAACAGAUGGGCAGCAAUGAGCAGUGGGGAUAACAGGCGGAGGCUGACCUUACGAGAACCACAUGGGCUUUGGUGGAAAUUAGUGGUGAGUAUUCUAUUAUAGUGGAAGAGGCAGGUCUGGUACCAGAGAGGAGGAGACCCAUAAACACUGGGAAUGACAUGAGGUUCCUAUAAGGGGUCUGAGGUGAAAGUCCUUGGGAUAUGAUAUAGGUCUCAAAGAACAAAAUGGCUCUCACCUGCCACAAGGCUCUCACCUGCCUGAUGAUGCCAGGGUCCUGUUUGUCCCAGCAACCUGGUAGUGUUGUCUGGGCUUCAGGAUCCCAAGCUUGCAUAUAACCUAAAUCUAAAUUAUAGAAUUAUAGAGAGGGAGGGGAUUAGAACUAUGUGACCAUCUUCUUUUGGGAGUGGCUAAGGCCUAACCCUGAAGAUGAAGGCCAUACUUUCAUUGAACUAGAGAUAACUAGUUCCCAUUCAUGAGACUAGGGUGAGCUUCAGAGGAGCUGUGAUAUGGAGAAGGGGUACUGGGACCUCAUCCAAGAAUGAUGGGUAUGAAUUAAAGAUAUCACAGCUUGGAGUGGGCCUAGAAGAUCAAGAUCCUAACACGCUGGAGGGAACUUCAGAAUCUUAUUAGGACUACAGUGUUGAAUACCACAUCUUAGGGGCUGAUGCAAGGUUGGAAAUAGAAUGAAAAAUGAGGACCAACCCUUCAAAGAUAAGAAGCUGCCCGGCUAUGAAAAAUCGAACAAGCGAUCCAUGGCUGAGUCCUUGUGCAAUCAGAUAAUAAGAUUGCCGCUGCCUGGUACCAAGUGGGUGGAGGCGGAGGAGGGGUGGGAGGGCAACAGAGCCUUGCUCAGCUGGAUAAUGGAGAAAGUACUCCAGUAGGAAAUGAAACUCUUACUUUAGAGAUAUUCUAGCCCAGCUGCAAAUGAGAGCCACCCCCCUUGUCUACUGCACACAGGCAAAGCUUUUACUUGUUAACUUCCAUGGACACAGAGGUAUCCACUACCAGCCAGGAGGCACCAGAUUUUACCUGAUACUUGGGAAGAACUAAUGGGAAUGACCCCUACUUUCCUCGUCCCAUUUCCUCUGUCCCCAGGUAGCAUCUAAUGGCCUCCCUGAGCCCAUUACCAAAUGAGAACUAGAUUACUCCCUGGGUAAUCUCUACCCUUAUACCUGGACUGCUAACCUUUUAUAUAACACAGGCAGCCUAGAGGCUGCUCUCACAGGUGCUAACUUCUGUAAGUGCUCUGUAUACACAACAGAAACCAAUUUCUCCAAGUCCCAGCCUGUCCUCUGAGCUUGUCUCCUCUCACCCUUUCAUCAAGCCUUGCAUUGAACCCAUCUCAGAAGCCACUUCAAGUGCUCUCAGCCUCACCUGUCUACCUGUCUUCAGGGCUUUUUGUUUUGGCCCAGCUGCCCCUGUGGUGAUCAGUUUCCCCAGUGGCAGAGCCUGCUUCAUGGCUAUGUGGCCAAUGCAGCUGGAUAGGGCCCUGGGAUCGAAGGGCUCCAUGCUUGUGGAAUGCUCUGCUGUAGACAUUUUGAAGCUUGUAAUCAUUUUGGAACAAGGGGCCCUGCAUUUUCAUUUUGCACUGGGCCCUGGCUAUUUACGCUAUAUGGAUUUUGACCAACUGCAUGCUGGCUCAACCUGACUGUGUCUCUCCCAUGUCCAGUGCUGUGAACCUAGAGUUUCUCUGUUGAAGCUGAAGCGUCAGGCACCUUGAGACUUGGAGAUGUUGUUUUUCUCUACCUACUCCACCCCAGGAUGAACUCUUAACCAAUGGGAUGUAGGAGUCAAGGGGUAAUUUCUUCUUCCCUACUCCUCUCCCACCUCCAGGUAGACCUUUAGACCUCUAAGAAUGCAUCCUGAGAUGCAUUCGUAGGGAUGGCCCUGCAAGAUAGAGGAAGUGGUUGUUUUCGACGGUUGCUAGUUCUCCCUAACUCCUUCUCUUUCCUGGUCUCUCCUGCUCUGGAGAUAUACUCCCUGAUAUAGAAGCCAUGCUCAUGAGUGAUGACUACACAUUUUUUUUUUUAAUUGAGACAGAGUUUCACUCUUGUUACCCAGGCUGGAGUGCAAUGGCGUGAUCUCGGCUCACUGCAACCUCCACCUCCUGGGUUCAGGCAAUUCUCCUGCCUCAGCCUCCUGAGUAGCUGGGAUUACAGGCACGCGCCACCAUGCCCAGCUAAUUUUUUUUGUAUUUUUAGUAGA